AUACGGAGGAUCCGAGCGUUAUCCGGAUUUAUUGGGUUUAAAGGGUGCGUAGGCGGGAGAUUAAGUCGGUGGUGAAAUUUUGCAGCUCAACUGUAAAAGUGCCAUUGAUACUGGUUUCCUUGAGUGUGGAUGAAGUAGGCGGAAUUUGUGGUGUAGCGGUGAAAUGCAUAGAUAUCACGAGGAACUCCGAUUGCGCAGGCAGCUUACUAAACCAGAACUGACGCUCAGGCACGAAGGCGUGGGGAUCAAACAGGAUUAGAUACCCUGGUAGUCCACGCAGUAAACGAUGAUUACUCGCUGUUUGCGAUACACAGCAAGCGGCUUAGCGAAAGCGUUAAGUAAUCCACCUGGGGAGUACGUUCGCAAGAAUGAAACUCAAAGGAAUUGACGGGG
rnacentral:rRNA from 1 species